AUUGAACGCUGGCGGCAGGCCUAACACAUGCAAGUCGAGCGAGCGGCGGCCGGGUGCGUAAUGUAUGGGGACUGCCCGCUAGAGGGGGAUAACUACUGGAAACGGUGGCUAAUACCGCAUAUUGUAGGAUCACUCAUAUGGGAUUAGCUAGUAGGUAAGGUAAUGGCUUACCUAGGCGACGAUCCCUCUCUGGUCGGAGAGGAUGAUCAGCCACACUGGGACUGAGACACGGCCCAGACUCCUACGGAGGCAGCAGUGGGGAAUAUUGCACAAUGGGCGCAAGCCUGAUGCAGCCAUGCCGCGUGUAUGAAGAAGGCCCUAGGGUUGUAAAGUACUUUCAGUCGGGAGGAGGGACAGAAAGAAGAAGCACCGGCUAACUCCGUGCCAGCAGCCGCGGUAAUUA
rnacentral:rRNA from 1 species